rnacentral:rRNA from 1 species
UCCACGCCGUAAACGAUGUCAACUAGCCGUUGGGAGCAUUUAAGCUUUUAGUGGCGCAGCUAACGCAUUAAGUUGACCGCCUGGGGAGUACGGCCGCAAGGCUAAAACUCAAAGGAAUUGACGGGGGCCCGCACAAGCGGUGGAGCAUGUGGUUUAAUUCGAUGCAACGCGAAGAACCUUACCAGCCCUUGACAUCCAGAGAAUUUUCCAGAGAUGGAUUAGUGCCUUCGGG